UGAAUGAGAUCUGAAACAAAAAGAAGGAAGCUUUAAGAAAAAUACCCACGGACUUCUGCAAGAAUGGGAGCGGGGUUUUAUCUGAAAGAAAAAAUAAAAUAAAAUAACUCGCUGAGGCUGGAAUCCAGUGAAAACCUUGAAAAAACAAAACUGUAUACCUGAUCAAAGACAGAUCUUGCCUUCUCAAGUCCCUGGGAUUUGAAAAAUGCUUCGUUCUCUAUUCAAGAACCAUGAUGACGAUUGUGUUUGUUCUACAGUUUUUUUUUUUUAAUUUGCUGACAAAGUGAAAUAUGGAAUACUGUAUUCGCUUAUUUCAUGUUUGGCUCACAAUGGAUUGAGUUAUAUAAAGUAGGACAUGGACAAAUUGCAAAACCCAGAACAAACAGGGUCCCUAAUAGUCUUAUAUAACUGCAAACAUUCUACAUCUGCUUUAAUCCAUCAUCUUCUUUGCUCCUCGCAUAAAAUAGUGUGGUUUUUCUCUCUCUGAUUUUUAAGUAAAAGAGAGUUUUCUGUACUGUAAAACUGAAAAACUUUUGAUGGGAAAGUAACUCAAAAAAUGCAAAGGGGGAAAUCUCUUCGGGUAUUUCAUUUGUAUGAGUCUAUUAACUCCCAAAGUACACUGCAAGCUGUAAUAAAGCAAAGCUAUUCUAAAUCUUCUUUUGCCCGAACAAGGUGUUUGUGACAAUAUUUCAUUGGCAUGAAAGUAGAGAAGUCAUCCCCAAUGCAUUGAGAUGUGUAAGGAUUUUCACCUAAGUUGGUAAACGGAAGGCUAAUAACAAACUAGGCAACAAAGUAAUACUUUUAGUUUUUAAAAAAUGCAGCAACGUGAUUAGCUUAUGUGCCUCUGCAAUGUUUUAGUGUAAUCGCGAAUGUGACGUUUAUUAGACCGGACUGAAGAAUGCACCGAAUAUCAGGGCUUUUUUUUUCUUUAUUGUAGCGAUACUAAUGAAGACAACUGUUUUUGUCUUGCCUUCUGACAACAUUUAGAAUUUCUGGUGAAGGGUAGGAAUAAUAAUCCUGAAGUGUCUCAAUGUUUGCAAAAUAUUUGCUUCUAAACAUUAUGAAGCCACAGAAAGUGAAAAGGCAAUUAAGAUUCACUAAUGCAACACGUCUUGUUUCAUAUAAGAAAAUCAGACAGCUCAAAGAAAAGGAGUCACCCACUAGAGAGGUUGGGGAAAUUUUACACAUAAAAAUGAAAGCAGUGAUGGUUUAGAAGUUUCUCCAUAUGUUUUUAUGCAUUAUGGUAUUGAAGAGUCCUUCCAAGUUUGACAAAACUCGAAGCCCUAUUGAAGCUACAGGAGGGGUGCAUGCUGAUGAAGGGGCCAGAAAUAACAGAUUAAACCUUGUCUUGCUUCAUCCCGUGUUCCCUUUUGUGUAAUCUAUAUUGGCAUUUUGUGUCUUCCAGAAGGGUCUCCUGAGCUCCCUAAGGCUCUGCCUGCAACUCCAGAUUGCGGCCUUUUGUAAAUAACGUACAUAAAGAGGGGCUGUUAAACUCUUGUUGAGUUAUUUUUGUUUUGCACUUUGCACCUUCAGUGCAUAUGAGAACUACUCCCACGCCAUUUCCUGACAAACCAGAUCUUGCUGUGAAGGCUGAAAACUUUACUCGGUCGCACCCUAUUUUUAGGACUUGUAAUGAAGAGAAAAUGUGGUGUUAUAACACCCAUCCAAAUGCUGGCGCCCCAGUAGACGACAGCAGCGUUUUAAGAGCUAAUGUAGACAAUUUAUCCGAAAAAGACCAAAUUGUGACCGAUCCUGCAAAUAAACAGACAACAGAUCACUAGGAGUUGGGAUGCGGUCUAGCCAGGGAUUGCAAACGGCCAACUUGGUUCUACUGAAGAUCACAGAUGGCCUAGAACAGCAAAAGCAGUUACCCAGGAACCGGACUUGGAAGGAUGCUAAUUUUAGUAUUAAAAGAGGAGAGUGGAAGUAAAUCCAAAACUCUCUGCUGCUGCUUUGGAAAUCGCAUCUUAAAAUGCCUUCUACUUUCCAAAUAAUAACAGCGAACUUUUAUUGAGUGGUCACUGUAUGCCAGGCAUUUGUCUAUAUGCUUUACAUAUAUCAGCUCACUUAAUCCUUAUGACAACCCUCUGAGGGAGGUACUAUUAUGACUAUUAUGACAAGCCAUUGAUAACCUGGCCAAGGUCCCACAGGCAGCCAACGCAGAAAUCCAGACCCAGGUACUUCUCUCCACUGCUUGCCUUUCUUCUGACCUUUCUAUUGCCAUGGAGGUCAUUUUCAGAAGCUACCUUUCACUUUCUUGGUAACUUCAUGCUCCUUCUUAUCUCUCUCUUCACACACUUGCAGAGCGGACAGAUACAGAAGAAAAGGGACAAGCUGGAAUGCGUGCCAGUUACAAAUGUCAAAUGCUGGCGAAAUCCCUACAAAUAGAAGGCCUCUGGUACUUGGUAUUGCAGGGUAUGCUACCGAUGGGCAGCAAACAUGGCUAUUAUCUUGUUGAGUCCACGCUGGUUAACCUCUCAGCCUCAGCUCUGUAAACUCCACCACUGGAAACCCUUGGGGUUCUAUAUCUGAUCAGAUUCUGACCUUUUCCUCUCUGUUCUCCCCAUAGAUUUGCUGUAAGUCUGAACAAACUUAAGCUUCAAGGUCCCUAAAUAAAUGGGUCCUAAGUCGAUGG